GAUGAAGAACGCAGCGAAAUGCGAUAAGUAAUGUGAAUUGCAGAAUUCAGUGAAUCAUCGAAUCUUUGAACGCACAUUGCGCCCGCCAGUAUUCUGGCGGGCAUGCCUGUUCGAGCGUCAUUUCAACCAUCAAGCCCCCGGCUUGUGUUGGGGACCUGCGGCUGCCGCAGGCCCUGAAAAGCAGUGGCGGGCUCGCUGUCACACCGAGCGUAGUAGCAUACAUCUCGCUCUGGGCGUGCUGCGGGUUCCGGCCGUUAAACCACCUUCAUAACCCAAGGUUGACCUCGGAUCAGGUAGGAAGACCCGCUGAACUUAAGCAUAUAUAAGCGGAGGA
rnacentral:misc_RNA from 1 species